rnacentral:rRNA from 1 species
GCAGGCUGCAACUCGCCUGCAUGAAGUCGGAAUUGCUAGUAAUCGCGGAUCAGCAUGCCGCGGUGAAUACGUUCCCGGGUCUUGUACACACCGCCCGUCACACCACGAGAGUUUGCAACACCCGAAGUCGGUGAGGCAACCCGUCCAGGGAGCCAGCCGCCGAAGGUGGGGCAGAUGAUUGGGGUGAAGUCGUAACAAGGUAGCCGUAUCGGAAGGUGCGGCUGGAUCACCUCCUUUCUACGGAG